GGAUUCCCCUAGUAACGGCGAGUGAAGCGGGAAGAGCUCAAAUUUUAAAUCGGCGGUCUCCGGCCGUCCGAGUUGUAAAUUAUAGAAGCGUUAUCUGUGCCGGACCUGCCAUAAGUUGUCUUGAAUGAUAUAUCAGAGAGGGUGAGAAUCCCGUGCUUGUGCAGGAUCACCGGGGCUAUAUGUUGCGCUCUCAACGAGUCGAGUGUUUGUGAUUGCAGCUCCAAAUGGGAGGUAAAUUC
rnacentral:rRNA from 1 species